GAGUACCACGAGACACGUGAAACCUUGUGGGAAGCAGGGAGGACCACCUCCCAAGGCUAAAUACUACCUGAUGACCGAUAGUGAAGCAGUACCGUGAGGGAAAGGUGAAAAGAACCCCGGGAGGGGAGUGAAAUAGAACCUGAAACCGUGUGCCUACAACCGCUCAGAGCCCCUUAUGAGGGUGAUGAGGUGCUUUUUGUAGAACGAGCCAACGAGUUACGGUAUGUAGCAAGGUUAAGUACUUAAGGUACGGAGCCGAAGGGAAACCGAGUCUGAAUAGGGCGACUAGUUGCAUGCCGUAGACCCGAAACCGGGUGACCUAUCCAUGGCCAGGUUGAAGCGAGGGUAAAACCUCGUGGAGGACCGAACCACGUUGCUGUUGAAAAAGCAUGGGAUGAGCUGUGGAUAGCGGAGAAAUUCCAAUCGAACCCGGAGAUAGCUGGUUCUCUCCGAAAUAGCUUUAGGGCUAGCGUCGAGUAUGAGUAGUGGAGGUAGAGCACUGAAUGGGCUAGGGGGCAUAGCGCUUACCGAACCUUAUCAAACUCCGAAUGCCACAUACUUUGAGCUCGGCAGUCAGACUACGAAUGAUAAGAUCCGUGGUCAAAAGGGAAACAGCCCAGAUCGUCAGCUAAGGUCCCAAAGUGUAAGUUAAGUGGGAAAGGAUGUGAGAUUUCUAAGACAACUAGGAUGUUGGCUUAGAAGCAGCCAUUCAUUAAAAGAGUGCGUAAUAGCUCACUAGUCGAGAGAUCUUGCGCCGAAAAUGUAACGGGGCUAAACUUACC
rnacentral:rRNA from 1 species